GAUGAACGCUGGCGGCGUGCCUAAUACAUGCAAGUCGAGCGAACAGAUAAGGAGCUUGCUCCUUUGACGUUAGCGGCGGACGGGUGAGUUACACGUGGAUAACCUACCUAUAAGACUGGGAUAACUUCGGGAAACCGGAGCUAAUACCGGAUAACAUAUUGAACCGCAUGGUUCAAUAGUGAAAGGCGGCUUUGCUGUCACUUAUAGAUGGAUCCGCGCCGUAUUAGCUAGUUGGUAAGGUAACGGCUUACCAAGGCAACGAUCCGUAGCCGACCUGAGAGGGUGAUCGGCCACACUGGAACUGAGACACGGUCCAGACUCCUACGGGAGGCAGCAGUAGGGAAUCUUCCGCAAUGGGCGAAAGCCUGACGGAGCAACGCCGCGUGAGUGAUGAAGGUCUUCGGAUCGUAAAACUCUGUUAUCAGGGAAGAACAAAUGUGUAAGUAACUGUGCACAUCUUGACGGUACCUGAUCAGAAAGCCACGGCUAACUACGUG
rnacentral:rRNA from 1 species